GGUCAAGCUACAAAGCUACUCGUGU
rnacentral:rRNA from 1 species